CUUCACCGACCCCAGCCACAGCGGCCGCCCCUCGGGACGCCCCCUGCCGUAGGUGGCCAGCAGGGCCUGGGCCUC
rnacentral:antisense_RNA from 1 species